GGGCGAUUAGCUCAGAGGUAGAGCGCCUCGUUUACACCGAGGAUGUCGGGAGUUCAAUUCUCUCAUCGCCUACCA
rnacentral:tRNA from 2 species